rnacentral:rRNA from 1 species
UACAGAGGGUGCAAGCGUUGUUCGGAAUUAUUGGGCGUAAAGCGCGUGUAGGCGGCAUGGCAAGUCGGGUGUGAAAGCCCUCAGCUUAACUGAGGAAGUGCGCCCGAAACUGCUUUGCUUGAGUGCCGGAGAGGAUGGCGGAAUUCCCCAAGUAGAGGUGAAAUUCGUAGAUAUGGGGAGGAACACCGGUGGCGAAGGCGGCCAUCUGGACGGUAACUGACGCUGAGACGCGAAAGCGUGGGGAGCGAACAGG